CUCAGGUUUCCGGAGUGGGAUGGAGAGGUGAGGUCCAUCCUGAGAGAGCCGUCACAUUCCCGUCAGCCUCGGGCGUCGACACGUUCUCAGGACAAGCGGCGGUGCCGCCGGCGGAGCUGGGACGGCCGCAGCAGGUCUCCGUCCUGGAGUCCGCCGCAUCCUCGGGUUUCAUCCUCCAGCAGGUCUCGCAGUCCUCACGCCCACCGUGGAGACAAAGCUCAGCCGGACAGACGAGGCCGCCGCUCGCCCGGCCUCCACCGCUGCCGUGACUCCACAGAGAGGAGGGAGGGAAGCUGGUCUCCUGCUGGGUCUCCACGUCACAAAUCGAGUUCUGCAGACAGAGGGACCUCCUCCAGACAAGGAGACGAGGCACUUCCACCUCCUCCUGCUCCCAAGAGGAGCUGUGGGAGGCGCUCGUCUACAGAAACCCCCCUGAG